CAGUCCCCAGAGGGCUUCUCUGCGGAGUGGAGACAGUCCAUCAGGUUUCACCAAGGGGUCCCCAGAGGCCACUCCAGAGACUGUGUUCCCCCGUCUGUGGCCACACCUCACCUGGUCUUCGUUGGCUCCAUCCUCUGCGGCUGUGUCUGGGAUAACUCUCGCCAAGCAGGGUCAGCCCCCCGGGAGCAGGCCGCUAACGAGCUUCAGAUGUCCAGGCCAGACUGCCUCGCAGCAGGCGGGUGUGCAGAGGCUUGGCUGAUGGCGGCCCCCCGGGCGGCGGUGGUGGCUCAGAGGACACCUCCUCUUCCCUUCGUAGCUUACUUACCUCCCAACUUGGAUGGAGCAGGUGCCAGAGUUCCCCCAGAAGCCCCAGCCCGGGCGGCUAUUGCAAGGAGAUCUGGAAAAGGGCAGGGAGGCUGGAGGACAAAUGCAUUGUGAUCAUU
rnacentral:lncRNA from 1 species